rnacentral:rRNA from 1 species
AGUGAACGCUGGCGGUAGGCCUAACACAUGCAAGUCGAACGAGUGGCGGACGGGUGAGGAAUACAUCGGAAUCUACUCUGUCGUGGGGGAUAACGUAGGGAAACUUACGCCAAUACCGCAUACGAUUGAAUGAGCCGAUGACCGAUUAGCUUGUUGGCGGGGUAAAGGCGCACCAAGGCGACGAUCCGUAGCUGGUCUGAGAGGAUGAUCAGCCACACUGGAACUGAGGCACGGUCCAGACUCCUACGGGAGGCAGAAGUGGGGAAUAUUGGACAAUGGGCGCAAGCCUGAUCCAGCCAUACCGCGUGAGUGAAGAAGGCCUUGGGGUUGUAAAGGCCUUUUGUUAGGAAAGCGGUACCCAAAGAAUAAGCACCGGCUAACUUCGUGCCAGCAGCCGCGGUAAUAC